rnacentral:rRNA from 1 species
UACGUAGGGUGCAAGCGUUGUCCGGAAUUAUUGGGCGUAAAGAGCUCGUAGGCGGUUUGUCGCGUCUGCUGUGAAAACGCGAGGCUCAACCUCGCGCCUGCAGUGGGUACGGGCAGACUAGAGUGCGGUAGGGGAGAUUGGAAUUCCUGGUGUAGCGGUGGGAUGCGCAGAUAUCAGGAGGAACACCGAUGGCGAAGGCAGAUCUCUGGGCCGUAACUGACGCUGAGGAGCGAAAGCGUGGGGAGCGAACAGG